rnacentral:snRNA from 1 species
GUGCUUGCUUCAGCAGCCCAUAUACUAAUAUUGGAAUGAUACAGAGUAGAUUAGCAUGGCCCCUGCACAAGGAUGACAUGCAAAUUCAUGAAGUGUUCCAUAUUUUA